UUCCAGACUCCUACGGGAGGCAGUAGUGAGGAAUAUUGGUCAAUGGGCGGAAGCCUGAACCAGCCAAGUCGCGUGAGGGAAUAAGGCCCUACGGGUCGUAAACCUCUUUUGCCGGGGAGCAAGGGCGGGGACGUGUCCCGGCCCGGAGAGUACCCGGAGAAAAAGCAUCGGCUAACUCCGUGCCAGCAGCCGCGGUAAUACGGAGGAUGCGAGCGUUAAUCGGAAUUACUGGGCGUAAAGCGCUCGUAGGCGGUAUGUCAAGUCAAGGGUGAAAUCCCCGCGCUCAACGUGGGAACUGCCUUUGAAACUGGCAAACUGGAGUGUGUGAGAGGAUAGUGGAAUUCCAGGUGUAGGAGUGAAAUCCGUAGAUAUCUGGAGGAACAUCAGUGGCGAAGGCGACUAUCUGGCACAUAACUGACGCUGAGGAGCGAAAGCGUGGGUAGCAAACAGGAUUAGAUACCCCAGUAC
rnacentral:rRNA from 1 species